CAAGCAGAGGGGACGCUGCUUGGCUGAACGACAUCUGCAAUCCAGUGUGACUUAAAGAAUUUACACAUUUAUUCAACUUUCCUUCAAGAUAAAGAAUGCUGAUUAAUGUUGUAAGACAUUCUACCAAGAGAGAAUACAGAAACUGGGGUUGUACUCCUCUGGACAGAGAAGUGAAAAUCUACUAUGCUGAAUGGGAAAAUGUCAUCUAUCAAGCUGGAUUUCAACCUAGGAUCAGAUUUGUCCAACAGUAACAUCAGCUAGGAUCACAAACCAUUGUGACAGAAGACCUUUCCAUUUAAGACAGUUGACAUCAGAAAAAUGCCCAUUAUUUAAAAUCAGAUGAAAUUGGAUGCUGUUGAUGAUGGUACAGAUUGGUAUUUCAUUAGGAAUGCUCAUAGUUUGAUAACAUAUUUCACAAACUAAACCCAGUAUGUGACUGAAGGGUUAACUGAUGCCAAAUCUGAUUCAAUGUAUCUUUAAUACAACGGCAUUCUGUCUCAAGAUUUAUGCUGGCAACAAUGUAUCUUUGGAUACAAUGCCAAAAUUAGCAUUUUUUUUCCACAGGCGUGAGACAAACCAAUUCCGCACAUAAGGACGUGAGGACUGGUGACUAAAAACCUGUUCAAAAGGAGGCUGCUCAUGGACAAUGAACAGAAGUAGAGGACGUCAAACCAAACGGACAAAGAUUGAUCUAAAAUAUAAAGAUGCCAACAGUGAAUAGUAAAGUUUUCUUUAAACAUUUUAUCCAGGUUCUUCGUUCCUGUUAAUGUUUGCACCGUGCUUUGUUGCUGUCUCCCUCGGUCGCCUUAACUUGCUUCACUUUUUUCUUUU